rnacentral:rRNA from 1 species
UGCAAGUCGAACGAACCUUCGGGUUAGUGGCGGACGGGUGAGUAACGCGUGAGAAUCUGCCCUCAGGAGGGGGAUAACGGCUGGAAACGGCCGCUAAUACCCCAUAUGCCGCGAGGUGAAAUGAAUUUCGCCUGAGGAUGAGCUCGCGUCUGAUUAGCCAGUUGGUGGGGUAAAGGCCUACCAAGGCUUCGAUCAGUAGCUGGUCUGAGAGGAUGAUCAGCCACACUGGGACUGAGACACGGCCCAGACUCCUACGGGAGGCAGCAGUGGGGAAUUUUCCGCAAUGGGCGAAAGCCUGACGGAGCAACGCCGCGUGAGGGAUGAAGGCCUCUGGGCUGUAAACCUCUUUUAUCAAGGAAGAAGAUCUGACGGUACUUGAUGAAUAAGCCACGGCUAAUUCCGUGCCAGCAGCCGCGGUAAU